GGGAAUCUACCUUGUAGUGGGGGAUAGCCCGGAGAAAUCCGAUUAAUACCGCAUAAUCUCUACGGAGCAAAGUGGGGGAUCUUCGGACCUCACGCUAUUAGAUGAGCCCGCGUUGGAUUAGCUUGUUGGUGGGGUAAUGGCUCACCAAGGCGACGAUCCAUAGCUGGUUUGAGAGGAUGAUCAGCCACACUGGGACUGAGACACGGCCCAGACUCCUACGGGAGGCAGCAGUGGGGAAUAUUGGACAAUGGGCGCAAGUGAUCCAGCAAUGCCGCGUGUGUGAAGAAGGCCCGAGGGUUGUAAAGCACUUUCAAUAGAGACGAAAAGCUCAGGAUUAAUACCCCUGAGUCUUGACUUAACCUAUAGAAGAAGCACCGGCUAACUCCGUGCCAGCAGCCGCGGUAAUAC
rnacentral:rRNA from 1 species